UGCGCUAACUGGCAUGAGAGUGGAUAAUCUGUAUCUUGAGGUUUGGGUUUAGCCCACAACUAUACUUCAUUAUCAAGUGUCGGAGUCUAGUUAACCCAAAACCAGACCUCAGGAUACAGGUUACCUCCUCUACAAUGGUCAGUUUACCUCAGCCA
rnacentral:pre_miRNA from 1 species